rnacentral:sRNA from 1 species
GGACAUUUACUUCCCUGACGAGUCAGCUGAAGCCUUGCCUUUCUUCCUGUUCUUUCACGGAGGAUACUGGCAGAGCGGAAGGCACCCUGGACCAGAUGGUAGACCAGGUGACCCGCAGCGUUGCGUUUGUCCAGAAGCGGUAUCCAAGCAACAAACCCUGUGUCAAGGAGAGUGGAAAGCCUCGUUUGAAGAGCUCCAUGAUGUGGACCACUUUGAAAUCGUUGAGAAUCUGACCCAGAAGGACAACGUGCUUACCCAGAUUAUCUUGAAAACAAUCUUCCAGUAGUUCUGACGAUACCUGGAGCCUGGUCCACAUGCAUCCCACCUUGGGAAGCCUCUCCAAAGAGCUUUUGGAUCUGAAGCUGACAGCUUCAGUUUCCCCCAGCACCCAGGAGAGCCUUGCUGUGUCUGCCUGCCCGGCAAGAGUCCAUUCUCACUACUGGGACACUCAUGAAAAUCUCCAGGUCCUCCCUCUUCCCAGCCUGGAUGGAGCUCCAGGGCUGGGGAACGUCCACAAGUCAAUGCUUGGAGAUGCCCUGAGCCGCCUCUUAGCCUCAUCUGGCCCCUCCACCUGCUGACAGAGCGUGACAAAGAUGACACUCAAAAGUAAUGCCAUUACAUGGCAUUACUUUUUUUUUUUUUUUUUUUUUUGAGAUGGAGUCUCACUGUCACCCAGGCUGGAGUGCAGUGGCGUGAUCUUGGCUCACUGCAGCCUCCAAUUCCCGGGUUCAAGCAAUUCUUCUGCCUCAGCCU